rnacentral:rRNA from 1 species
UGGGGAAUUUUGGACAAUGGGGGAAACCCUGAUCCAGCCAUCCCGCGUGUGCGAUGAAGGCCUUCGGGUUGUAAAGCACUUUUGGCAGGAAAGAAACGUCGCGGGUUAAUACCCCGCGAAACUGACGGUACCUGCAGAAUAAGCACCGGCUAACUACGUGCCAGCAGCCGCGGUAAUACGUAGGGUGCAAGCGUUAAUCGGAAUUACUGGGCGUAAAGCGUGCGCAGGCGGUUCGGAAAGAAAGAUGUGAAAUCCCAGAGCUUAACUUUGGAACUGCAUUUUUUAACUACCGGGCUAGAGUGUGUCAGAGGGAGGUGGAAUUCCGCGUGUAGCAUGAAAUGCGUAGAUAUGCGGAGGAACACCGAUGGCGAAGGCAGCCUCCUGGGAUAACACUGACGCUCAUGCACGAAAGCGUGGGGAGCAAACAGGAUUAGAUACCCUGGUAGUCCACGCCCUAAACGAUGUCAACUAGCUGUUGGGGCCUUCGGGCCUUGGUAGCGCAGCUAACGCGUGAAGUUGACCGCCUGGGGAGUACGGUCGCAAG